GAUAUUUAUUGAGUGAGGUUAAAUCAGUAAUUUUCAUAUUGCUAUCAUCGCAAAUGUCCAUUCUACCCUUGUUCUGGAAUUACUUUUUUACCCCUCACGACUAUCAAUGCCGUCGCUGUUGCUUCACAAUUUGGAUUUCUUCGAUGACACUUCACUGAUGACGCCUGCGUUUGAUUUUUUUUGUGCCUCUAAUAAUUUAUGCGGUAAAAUGAUUUUUUAUAUUCUAUCUUCGUUUUAUUUUAUUGUUUGGUCAUGGAUUUAUUUAUUAUAUUAUUAAAAUAUAUUACAAUUAAUUAAAAAUAUAAAAUUUUGCAACGUAUUUGUAUUUAUAUUAGAUUUAUGACAACUGAUGAUUUAGAGAGCAUUGAAAAUUUGAAACGAGAGUAGCCCAUUAUUAUUGGGCCCAAAAGCCCAGUAGAGUUGAAGGCUGUAUAUAUAAAGGCAUUGAAAAAUUUGAAAUGAGAGAAGCCUAUUAUUAUUGGGCCCAAAGGCCCAAUAGAAUUGAAGGCUGUAUAUAUAUAGGCCUGAUUCUUCCUCGGCCAUGGCUUUUUCCCGCGCUAGUCAAUUCAGCAUUUCGCUCCUGCAGUGGCAGCGUGAACUCUGCUUGCUCGAGAAGCCUUUCUUCUUCGUCAUUCGGUCGGAAAAUCGAUGAGCUGUUGUGUUCCCGUGCUGAACUGUUGCCUACAAUGAAAUGGGGAAGAGUUUAUGGAUUAGCUAUGCUGUUUAAUUCAAUUUAUCUUGGCAUUGCUUACUUACACGAAUCACUCUCUGAAUAGCAUAAGUUGGCAUAAAUCGCUUUAUCCCUCACGUUUGGGCAUUGAGGAGAACUCCAACACUCUUGUCUUUUGUCGGAUUUCGGAUGUGAUUAUUCAUUUAGGGUUUCUUUUUGCUAAUUUGUUUCUAUUGACAUUUCCAAGUAUAGCUGAGAACCUUCUCUGUACUUAAUUUAAUUUUGAGCAUUUUUACUACCCUGAAAAUUUUUCCAGUUGAAUAUGCUGUACGAGCUUUUGUAAUAUAUCUUAUCAAUUAUAGGUGUUUGAAAAAAUGAGUUGUAGUGACAGUCCCGUAAGCAUGACCUGGUGGUGGUGGGGACUUGGAUUUGUGACCGGCCGGUCAUGGGUUCAAACCCCGGACGCCUUAGGUCAGACUUGUAUGUAAUAUGAUUUCAAUAUCCUGAGCAAGACAGAGACAAGAAUGGAAGAUGUUAGAAUAAUCCUCUCUUAGUUUCUUGAAAUUAAGGAACACCGUUGAUUAACACUCGAAAGCUAACAGAAGGGUAUUCUAUUUAGGGCCCCCAUUCAAGUAAGUCCUUCUCGAAAUUGACUCAAAUCUAUAUGUUGGAGAGUAAUUGGGCUUUCUUGAAAUUCAGGGAUAAAGAUUAACACCAAGUUUGUUUGUUUGUUGAAGAUGUGAAGAAAAUGAAAUGAAAAACGUGGCUCAUCGUCUUUUUUAUCCAUAUUUGAAAUGGAUCCCUCUGUCAAUCAUUCCAAGCACGCCUUAUCUUAAUUAAUUUUUAUAGCGCUUCAUAUCAUUCUCUUUACACUAUUUAGAUUUCAUCUUUUUUGAGAAUUCAUUGAGUACGUAGUUCUAAGGUUGCACCAGAAAAGGCAUAUAUAUAUAUAUAUAUGUUAAUUCCGAGAAUGAAUAAUAUUUACGCGAAUAUUGAAUAAUCUUACCGUGCUUGCAUGAUGUCUCAACGUGGUCAGCCAUGAGAGUUCAAGUACAACCACAAUAGCUUAGCAAGUUGAGUCCCGUGGAUUUUGUAAGUGAAUCAACUUUUCUCAUUACAUCCAUUACCUUAUUGUUGACAUUGUGUUCUAUAUGAUAAAAAGUUUCUUUAUAUUAUGAACAAUGUUAUCGAGUUAUGUACGUAGAAAAACACAAAGCAACCUUCAAGGAUGUGGCGUUCUGGCAUAUCUCAAAAUGUACAGAUCAAGAUUUUAAUGCGAGAGCACACAAUUUGACAGAAUUAGGCGGCCUGCUGCAAUGGAUCCAGAAUGUCCAAUUGCUGUUAAACAAGCAAAAGCCAACAACAAACCAAAUAAUCAACGACAACAGAGGAUAAAGAAGCAUGAAGAUUCGCAAGCUUUGGUAAUUAGAACUAUUAAUGCCUGGUUUAUGAGUUUGGAUUCAGUUAAUCAAGAACGAUGGACAAGAAUGGAGGAUGAUGCUCGGAGGAGAGAGUUGAAGCUGGAUAAACACUACGAAAUCAUGUCCCAACAAGCAAUGAAGGAGCACGAAGUAAAAAUGGCAAGAGAAAUAGGUUUCUUGGUUCAAGAGCUUGAGAAUAUUGGUGAGAAGUUGAUAGCUGCAUUAAGGAACUGGAAGAGUUGGAUUCUGAUAAUUUGGUGACGAAGCUAGACAAAAUACGGUAUGAAAGCAGCAAUUGACAUGAGUGACGAGCCAACUGCAACCAACCAUGUAGAAGGUGAGACAAGUGUUGAGAAAGAUUGAAAAUCAGAGACAUCUUUCCAACAAAACUGAUGUUUCGAUCGGUUCUUGGUAGCAGUGUAAGUCUCCUAUCACUUGCAUGUGUUGUUACUGAUGUUCAUGAAUACUGGAAUGCGGUUAUGUGUUUAAGUGAUGAUUUUGUGUUAGGAGUAAGUUCCUUGUUUAUGUUUAUGAUGAUGUGUUAGUGUUAAUGGAUUAUGGUGACAGUGGAAUCGUUGCUGUGUUAGUUG